UACAGAGGUCUCAAGCGUUGUUCGGAUUCAUUGGGCGUAAAGGGUGCGUAGGUGGCGGGGUAAGUCAGGUGUGAAAUCUCGGGGCUCAACCCCGAAACUGCACUUGAUACUGCCUUGCUCGAGUACUGGAGAGGAGAUUGGAAUUUACGGUGUAGCAGUGAAAUGCGUAGAUAUCGUAAGGAAGACCAGUGGCGAAGGCGGCUACCUGGCCCAACAUUGACACUGAGACCCGAAAGCGUGGGGAUCAAACAGG
rnacentral:rRNA from 1 species